rnacentral:rRNA from 2 species
AAUGCAGUCGAACGAACUCUGGUAUUGAUUGGUGCUUGCAUCAUGAUUUACAUUUGAGUGAGUGGCGAACUGGUGAGUAACACGUGGGAAACCUGCCCAGAAGCGGGGGAUAACACCUGGAAACAGAUGCUAAUACCGCAUAACAACUUGGACCGCAUGGUCCGAGUUUGAAAGAUGGCUUCGGCUAUCACUUUUGGAUGGUCCCGCGGCGUAUUAGCUAGAUGGUGGGGUAACGGCUCACCAUGGCAAUGAUACGUAGCCGACCUGAGAGGGUAAUCGGCCACAUUGGGACUGAGACACGGCCCAAACUCCUACGGGAGGCAGCAGUAGGGAAUCUUCCACAAUGGACGAAAGUCUGAUGGAGCAACGCCGCGUGAGUGAAGAAGGGUUUCGGCUCGUAAAACUCUGUUGUUAAAGAAGAACAUAUCUGAGAGUAACUGUUCAGGUAUUGACGGUAUUUAACCAGAAAGCCACGGCUAACUACGUGCCAGCAGCCGCGGUAAUACGUAGGUGGCAAGCGUUGUCCGGAUUUAUUGGGCGUAAAGCGAGCGCAGGCGGUUUUUUAAGUCUGAUGUGAAAGCCUUCGGCUCAACCGAAGAAGUGCAUCGGAGACUGGGAAACUUGAGUGCAGAAGAGGACAGUGGAACUGCAUGUGUAGCGGUGAAAUGCGUAUAUAUAUGGAAGAACACCAGUGUCGAAGGCGGCUGUCUGGUGUGUGCCUGACACUCAUGCGCGCCAGUAUGGGUAGCACACACGAUAGAUACCCCUGCUACUGCUGUACCUUCAUACGAUAUAUGCACAGUGUUCGGCGGGUAUGCGUGGCCGUUCCUGCUGCCGCUGUCGGCACACAUAUUUACCCUCUUGUGCAGAGC